AUAUUAAUGGCCGCGGUACUUUGACCGUGCUAAGGUAGCGCAAUCAAUUGGCUUUUAAUUGAAGCCAUGUAUGAAUGGAAUCACGGGGUUUAGCUGUCUCCUAAAUAAUCUAUCAAAAUUACUACUUAGGUGAAAAAGCCUAAGAAAAGAAAAAAGACGAGAAGACCCUAAGAGUUUUUCCUAAAUUUAGAAAUUAUUCCUAAAGACAGUUUAGUUGGGGCAACAUAGGAACAAUAAUAACAAAAUGAUAAUCUCCUGUAAAAGACUCACCGAUUUUAAUAAAUAUGAAUAAACUACCUUAGGGAUAACAGCAUAAUUUUAUAAAUAAGUUUGUGACCUCGAUGUUGGACUAGGAAACUAAAAGGCUAACCGCCUUUUAGGAAAGUUCUGUUCGAACUAUUAUUCCU
rnacentral:rRNA from 1 species